rnacentral:rRNA from 1 species
UACAGAGGGUGCAAGCGUUGUUCGGAAUUACUGGGCGUAAAGGGUGCGUAGGUGGCAUGGUAAGUCGGAUGUGAAAUCCCGGGGCUCAACCCCGGAACUGCAUUCGAUACUGCUGCGCUAGAGUACUGGAGAGGAGAUUGGAAUUUACGGUGUAGCAGUGAAAUGCGUAGAUAUCGUAAGGAAGACCAGUGGCGAAGGCGGAUCUCUGGGCAGUUACUGACACUGAGGCACGAAGGCCAGGGGAGCAAACGGG